UUCUUAUCCAGAGAGGUGGAGGGAUAGGCCCGAUGAAACCCAGCAACCGGCACAGAAGUGCAAGGUGCUAAUUCCUACAGCCAACUGUGGUUUACAGUGGAGCUGAAAGAUGAGAG
rfam:Clostridium formicaceticum strain ATCC 27076, complete genome.